GAUGAACGCUGGCGGCGUGCCUAAUACAUGCAAGUCGAGCGAAUGGAUUGAGAGCUUGCUCUUAUGGAGUUAGCGGCGGACGGGUGAGUAACACGUGGGUAACCUGCCCAUAAGACUGGGAUAACUCCGGGAAACCGGGGCUAAUACCGGAUAACAUUUUGGACCGCAUGGUUCGAAAUUGAAAGGCGGCUUCGGCUGUCACUUAUGGAUGGACCCGCGUCGCAUUAGCUAGUUGGUGAGGUAACGGCUCACCAAGGCAACGAUGCGUAGCCGACCUGAGAGGGUGAUCGGCCACACUGGGACUGAGACACGGCCCAGACUCCUACGGGAGGCAGCAGUAGGGAAUCUUCCGCAAUGGACGAAAGUCUGACGGAGCAACGCCGCGUGAGUGAUGAAGGCUUUCGGGUCGUAAAACUCUGUUGUUAGGGAAGAACAAGUGCUAGUUGAAUAAGCUGGCACCUUGACGGUACCUAACCAGAAAGCCACGGCUAACUACGUGCCAGCCGCCGCAGUAA
rnacentral:rRNA from 1 species